GACGAACGCUGGCGGCGCGCCUAACACAUGCAAGUCGAACGGAGCUGAGAGGAGCUUGCUUUUCUUAGCUUAGUGGCGAACGGGUGAGUAACGCGUGAGUAACCUGCCCUGGAGUGGGGGACAACAGUUGGAAACGACUGCUAAUACCGCAUAAGCCCACGGUGCUGCAUGGCACUGCGGGAAAAGGAUUUAUUCGCUCUAGGAUGGACUCGCGUCCAAUUAGCUAGUUGGUGAGGUAACGGCCCACCAAGGCGACGAUUGGUAGCCGGACUGAGAGGUUGAACGGCCACAUUGGGACUGAGACACGGCCCAGACUCCUACGGGAGGCAGCAGUGGGGGAUAUUGCACAAUGGGGGAAACCCUGAUGCAGCGACGCCGCGUGGAGGAAGAAGGUUUUCGGAUUGUAAACUCCUGUCGUUAGGGACGAUAAUGACGGUACCUAACAAGAAAGCACCGGCUAACUACGUGCCAGCAGCCGCAGUAAUAC
rnacentral:rRNA from 1 species